AAUAGAUACCCGGGUAGCCCACGCCGUAAACGAUGGAUGCUAGCUAUUGGGGGGAAUCGACCCCCUCCGAAGCGAAGCUAACGCGUUAAGCAUCCCGCCUGAGUAGUACGAGCGCAAGCUUAAAACUCAAAGGAAUUGACGGGGACCCGCACAAGCGGUGGAGCGUGUGGUUUAAUUCGAUGGUAAACGAAGAACCUUACCAAGGUUUGACAUCCCGGUAGCCGUUCUCCGAAAGGAGAAUUUCAUUUAGUUGGACCGGUGACAGGUGAUGCAUGGCCGUCGUCAGCUCGUGUCGUGAGAUGUUGGGUUAAGUCCCGCAACGAGCGCAACCCUUAUGAUUUAGUUGGAUUUUUCUAAACAGACUGCCCUGGUAACAGGGAGGAAGGAGGGGAUGAUGUCAGGUCAGUAUUUCCCUUACACCCUGGGCGACACACGCGCUACAAUGGCCGGUACAAUGGGCAGCUAAGCCGCGAGGUGGAGCAAAUCCCAUCAAAGCCGGUCCCAGUUCGGAUUGCAGGCUGAAACCCGCUGCAUGAAGCCGGAAUCGCUAGUAACC
rnacentral:rRNA from 1 species